rnacentral:tRNA from 1 species
GGUCGAGUAGCUAAGCGACGAAAGCGUCGGUCUGCAAAACCGAAAUUCGUGGGUUUGAAUCCCACCUCGACCU